rnacentral:rRNA from 1 species
AUUGAACGCUGGCGGAAUGCUUUACACAUGCAAGUCGAGCGGCAGCACGGGGGCAACCCUGGUGGCGAGCGGCGAACGGGUGAGUAAUACAUCGGAACAUGCCCAGUCGUGGGGGAUAACACUUCGAAAGAAGUGCUAAUACCGCAUACGUCCUGAGGGAGAAAGCGGGGGAUCGCAAGACCUCGCGCGAUUGGAGUGGCCGAUGUCAGAUUAGCUAGUUGGUGGGGUAAAGGCCUACCAAGGCAACGAUCUGUAGCUGGUCUGAGAGGAUGAUCAGCCACACUGGGACUGAGACACGGCCCAGACUCCUACGGGAGGCAGCAGUGGGGAAUUUUGGACAAUGGGGGCAACCCUGAUCCAGCCAUUCCGCGUGAGUGAAGAAGGCCUUCGGGUUGUAAAGCUCUUUCGGCAGGAACGAAACGGCGAGCUCUAAAAUAGCUUGCUAAUGACGGUACCUGAAGAAGAAGCACCGGCUAACUACGUG